rnacentral:lncRNA from 1 species
AAGAUCAGUAAUAAACCGAUCAAAUGAGGAUGACCAUGAAUAAAGAUUAUGUCCAAACCUGAUUGAUAUUAAACCGAUCAAAUGAAGACAAUCUAUCCAAGUAAGGUCAUGAUGUCCGACCAAAAGAGGAUAGAAUCAAAGAUUUAAUCCAAACGAGAUCAUAAUUUUCGACCAAAUAAGGAUAAAAUAUGUCCAAACAAGGCCAAGAAGUACAGCCAAAUGAGAAUAAAGAAAAAUUUUAGGUCUACCCA